UCUGCAGGAGUCCUUCUUCCACUGGGCUUUUGGGGUGACCGAGGCCGACUGCUUUGGAGCCAUCCACGUGGAGUCAGGGAGAUCCCUGCUCUUCGCCCCUAAGCUGCCCGACAGCUAUGCCACCUGGAUGGGAGAGAUCUAUCCGAGGGAGCACUACAUGUUGAUGAAGUGCACUACACCUGUGAUAUUGCUGAUGUUCAAGCGGAGUCCAGCGGCCCUCCUUACUCUGCGUGGAGUGAAUACUGAUAGUGGGAGUACCUGUCGCGAAGCCUCCUUUGAAGGAAUCAGCCAAUUCAAAGUAAACAACACCAUCCUGCACCCUGUAAUUGUGGAAUG